rnacentral:rRNA from 1 species
AUUGAACGCUGGCGGCGUGCUUAACACAUGCAAGUCGAUCGGUAACAGGUGUAGCAAUACAUGCUGACGAGAGGCGGACGGGUGAGUAAUGCUUGGGAAUCUGCCUAUUAGUGGGGGACGAACCCGGGGAAACGUCGGGCGUAAUACCGCAUACGCUCUACGGAGGAAAGACCGGGGACCGGCAAGGCCUGGCGCUAAUAGAUGAGCCCAAGUCGGAUUAGCUAGUUGGUAGGGUAACGGCCUACCAAGGCGACAAUCCGUAGCUGGUCUGAGAGGACGACCAGCCACACCGGAACUGAGACACGGUCCGGACUCCUACGGGAGGCAGCAGUGGGGAAUAUUGGACAAUGGGGGCGAACCCUGAUCCAGCGACGCCGCGUGGGUGAAGAAGGCC